rnacentral:rRNA from 1 species
AACGAACGCUGGCGGCGUGGAUAAGACAUGCAAGUCGAACGAGGUUACUUCUGUAGCAAUACAGGAGUGGCUUAGUGGCGCAAGGGUGCGUAACACGUGGGCAACCUGCCCUGGGGUGUGGGAUAGCCCGCCGAAAGGCGGAUUAAUACCGCAUGUGGCUACCAAAUGCAUAUUUGGGACGCUAAAGGUGGCGCAAGCUACCGCUCCGGGAUGGGCCCGCGGCCCAUCAGCAGUUGGCGGGGUAACGGCCCACCAAGGCUAUGACGGGUAGCUGGUCUGAGAGGACGACCAGCCACACUGGAACUGAGACACGGUCCAGACACCUACGGGUGGCAGCAGUCGAGAAUUUUUCUCAAUGGGGG